GAUGAACGCUGGCGGCGUGCUUAAUACAUGCAAGUCGAGCGAACAGACGAGGAGCUUGCUCCGCUGUCGUUAGCGGCGGACGGGUGAGUAACACGUGGAUAACCUACUUCUAUGCCUGGGAUAACUGCGGGACACCGGCUCUAAUACCGGAUGAUAUAUUGAUCCGCAUGGUUCAAUAGUGAAUGACGGUUUUGCUUGAGCUUAUAGAUUGUUCCGUGCUGGAUUAGGUAAUUGGUAAGGUAACGGGUUACCGAGGCGACGAUGGGUAGCCGACCGGAGAGAGUGAUCGCCGGCCUGGGAGCUGGUACGGGGUCAAUAGUACUACGAGACGCACCAGAAGGGAAUGUGACGCAAUGGGCGAGAGCCUGACGGAACGACGGCAAGUGAGUGAUGAAGGUGUCGGGUUCGUAAUACUGGGUUACUAGGGAAGAACAAAUGUCGAAGGAGACAUAGCCGACGUGACGGUACCUGAACAGAAAGCCCCGGCUAACUACGUG
rnacentral:rRNA from 1 species